rnacentral:lncRNA from 1 species
GACAAUAAAAACUAUAGGCUCAAUACAUCAUCAUUCAAGUAUUCCGAAAAAAUACAUCAUCAUUCAUCAGUGAUCCCAAAACAGUUCCUAUGAACACCCAGCCCUGACCUCUGACUCUGAGGCUCUGAUUCUCUGAACAUGUACUCACAGGCCAGAAAGCCACAAUGCUUUUCUUUUCUUUCCUUCUUUUUUAUAUGAUGAGUGGCAGAAGCCACAAUGUCAAAAGUGAGCCACACAUUUCUUCAGUUGGUUCAGAGUUCAGGCCUCAUGAGUCAUGAACUCAUGACCACCACCGAUGGAGCACCCAACUGCGAGCGCCAGAAAUGCAUGACACCCCAGCUCCAGGUUCAGUUCACAUACUUCAGAAUGAAUCAACGCUUGCUUCUUCCAGCGCUUCCAGCAAUCCAGCCUGAACAACGUUCGGGUUCAGGCUUCCUUCUUCAGCUAGAAGAGAAGGGCGCUCCUGUAGAAACUUCAGAAGCGACAUCCAUGGACCAUACCAGAGGAAAUCGAUUUGCUUAGCAAUAUGACGCGGGUCCGUUGCUUACCGUUGCUAAAGCAGCUUGCGGACUCGUGGUGGGGCUAGCUGACGGCGCGUCGAGACCGGUCAAUGAAAGCCGCGACGAGGAAGUACAGGGACGCGAGAUCAGCCGGUGUGUGGCGGCGCUCCGGGCGAGACGGACGCCUCCGCGCCGCAUGGAGCAGAGGUGGGCUUUUCCUGACGCCCGAGCAAAAUCAACACUACGUCCAUGAGUGGGGACCGCCGAAUCGCCGAUGGAACGUCGCCGGCGGGAGCGGGAGAGCUCGCCGGCGUCAGCGU